rnacentral:rRNA from 2 species
AUCAUGAUUUACAUUUGAGUGAGUGGCGAACUGGUGAGUAACACGUGGGAAACCUGCCCAGAAGCGGGGGAUAACACCUGGAAACAGAUGCUAAUACCGCAUAACAACUUGGACCGCAUGGUCCGAGCUUGAAAGAUGGCUUCGGCUAUCACUUUUGGAUGGUCCCGCGGCGUAUUAGCUAGAUGGUGGGGUAACGGCUCACCAUGGCAAUGAUACGUAGCCGACCUGAGAGGGUAAUCGGCCACAUUGGGACUGAGACACGGCCCAAACUCCUACGGGAGGCAGCAGUAGGGAAUCUUCCACAAUGGACGAAAGUCUGAUGGAGCAACGCCGCGUGAGUGAAGAAGGGUUUCGGCUCGUAAAACUCUGUUGUUAAAGAAGAACAUAUCUGAGAGUAACUGUUCAGGUAUUGACGGUAUUUAACCAGAAAGCCACGGCUAACUACGUGCCAGCAGCCGCGGUAAUACGUAGGUGGCAAGCGUUGUCCGGAUUUAUUGGGCGUAAAGCGAGCGCAGGCGGUUUUUUAAGUCUGAUGUGAAAGCCUUCGGCUCAACCGAAGAAGUGCAUCGGAAACUGGGAAACUUGAGUGCAGAAGAGGACAGUGGAACUCCAUGUGUAGCGGUGAAAUGCGUAGAUAUAUGGAAGAACACCAGUGGCGAAGGCGGCUGUCUGGUCUGUAACUGACGCUGAGGCUCGAAAGUAUGGGUAGCAAACAGGAUUAGAUACCCUGGUAGUCCAUACCGUAAACGAUGAAUGCUAAGUGUUGGAGGGUUUCCGCCCUUCAGUGCUGCAGCUAACGCAUUAAGCAUUCCGCCUGGGGAGUACGGCCGCAAGGCUGAAACUCAAAGGAAUUGACGGGGGCCCGCACAAGCGGUGGAGCAUGUGGUUUAAUUCGAAGCUACGCGAAGAACCUUACCAGGUCUUGACAUACUAUGCAAAUCUAAGAGAUUAGACGUUCCCUUCGGGGACAUGGAUACAGGUGGUGCAUGGUUGUCGUCAGCUCGUGUCGUGAGAUGUUGGGUUAAGUCCCGCAACGAGCGCAACCCUUAUUAUCAGUUGCCAGCAUUAAGUUGGGCACUCUGGUGAGACUGCCGGUGACAAACCGGAGGAAGGUGGGGAUGACGUCAAAUCAUCAUGCCCCUUAUGACCUGGGCUACACACGUGCUACAAUGGAUGGUACAACGAGUUGCGAACUCGCGAGAGUAAGCUAAUCUCUUAAAGCCAUUCUCAGUUCGGAUUGUAGGCUGCAACUCGCCUACAUGAAGUCGGAAUCGCUAGUAAUCGCGGAUCAGCAUGCCGCGGUGAAUACGUUCCCGGGCCUUGUACACACCGCCCGUCACACCAUGAGAGUUUGUA